UGCGAUAGGGGGAUCCCAAGUGCACAGGCAUAGUGCCUGUGCUUUUCGACACCCUAAGGCGGUGUCAGAAUAAGGGCUGGGCAAGACCGGUGCCAGCCGCCGCGGUAAUACCGGCAGCCCGAGUGAUGGCCGAUCUUAUUGGGCCUAAAGCGUCCGUAGCUGGCCGCGCAAGUCCAUCGGGAAAUCCGCCCGCUCAACGGGCGGACGCCCGGUGGAAACUGCGUGGCUUGGGACCGGAAGGCGCGACGGGUACGUCCGGGGUAGGAGUGAAAUCCCGUAAUCCUGGACGGACCGCCAAUGGCGAAAGCACGUCGCGAGGACGGAUCCGACAGUGAGGGACGAAAGCCAGGGUCUCGAACCGGAUUAAAUACCCGGGUAGUCCUGGCCGUAAACGAUGCCUGCUAGGUGUGGCUCCCGCUACGAGCGGGUGCUGUGCCGUAGGGAAGCCGCUAAGCAGGCCGCCUGGGAAGUACGUCCGCAAGGAUGAAACUUAAAGGAAUUGCGGGGGGACCAAAA
rnacentral:rRNA from 1 species